rnacentral:lncRNA from 1 species
AAUAAUAACCUCUCUGUCUCAAAACUUCAAAGUCUCAGAGAUGCCUCACCCUCAACCAGCUGAAAAACUAACAAAAACAAAACCCAGAUUCACUCCAGCAAGCUAAGAACGGCUGUAAAAUGUAAUCUCCAUUGAAGUUGGGCAUCUGGAAAUACUGAGAGUCUCCAUUGAGGUUGAGCAUCUCAAUAAACUGUGUUAUGUCAACCAGCCCGUGCAUGCCAACUAUUAUUAACUACCUCAUUUUUUGUGACCUCUAAUGUAAUAAUAUUUAAUGCUGAGCAGGUGUUCUGAAUUCUCAUUGUAUACUAUUUUUAUUCUUGUGUGAUGGAAUGGCUCCAUGUCCUCUAACACCUGACUAGAAUGAGGCACCUCUACCACCAGAAAGCCUCACUAAUGGCACAUCAGAAAACAGAAACACAAUAUGGAAUUGUGAGUUACUGAAAGCUUAUUAAAA